UGCCCCGUAGCUCAACUGGCAGAGCAGCUCCCUGUUACGGAGUAGGUUGCAGGUUCGACUCCUGCCGGGGUAGCAA
rnacentral:tRNA from 1 species